rnacentral:lncRNA from 1 species
CUUGGAUCAGAUCCAGCCCCACCCCCUGGACUUGUGGGUCUGCAGCGAGGGGUACUUGGGUUAGACAGACCUUUGGGAUGGAUAUUUUUGCUUGGACCUGGCAACCCUGCUGCGGGAAUGAGUAUGUAAUCCAGCCUCAGUAAGAGACAGAAAGAGGAGAGAAAGUGAGAGAAAUAUUAUGGACUGCAGACAGGAGUGUUUCUGUGGCUAGAUGUAAGAAAGUAAAGGUAGUUUACCCUGUUUUAUGAGCACUACAGUUCAGCAGCACCCUUUGAUGGAUGACUACUCUCAGCCAGAGCCCUGCAGCCCAGAACAGGACGCAACUGACUGCGGCACUUUCCACCACCCGCCCAGAAAUAGACUGAGAUUCAACUGUGGCCCAGAUUGAGAAGCCUUUACUCGGAGGUCGGCCAUCCCUCUUCUUGUGUACAGAUCACAGAAGGAGUGGAUCGUCUACGCAU